AUCACAAAACACUGUUAAUAGUUCUAUUCGAGUUCUGAGAGAAGAGAGCUCAUUAUGGGCUAGUGUGUUCCGGAAAGGCAUCAUGGAAAAGGUGGGCAUAGAAAAGCUAUGCAUUAAAAGACCCAGCUUUAUGGAGCAGGAUGGGAAGGAAGAAGCUUGAGCUCAAACUCAAUCCGCAAGACCCAGCUCUGCAGAGCAGGAUGGGAAGGAAGAAGCCUGAACUCAUCACCAAAUAUACAGACCAUUUAUGUGCCAUCACAUGCUGCCACCACGUCAUGCGCCACACAUCACAUGCAACACUCAAAAA